AUUGAACGCUGGCGGCAGGCCUAACACAUGCAAGUCGAACGCGUGGCGGACGGGUGAGUAAUGUCGGGGAAACUGCCUGAUGGAGGGGGAUAACUCCUGGAAACGGUAGCUAAUACCGCAUACCAUCAGAUGUGCCCAGGUUGGAUUAGCUAUUUGGUGGGGUAACGGCUCACCAAGGCGAAGAUCCCUAGCUGGUCUGAGAGGAUGACCAGCCACACGGGAACUGAGACACGGUCCAGACUCCUACGGGAGGCAGCAGUGGGGAAUCUUGCACAAUGGGCGCAAGCCUGAUGCAGCCAUGCCGAGUGUAUGAAGAAGGCCUUCGGGUCGUAAAGUACUUUCAGCGGGGAGGCGUUACCCGCAGAAGAAGCACCGGCUAACUCCGUGCCAGCAGCCGCGGUAAUUC
rnacentral:rRNA from 1 species